rnacentral:rRNA from 1 species
GUUGGCUUAGAAGCAACCAUCAUUUAAAGAGUGCGUAAUAGCUCACUAGUCUAGUUUUGGGGCACCGACAGUAUAACGGGGCUAAGCUAAAUACCGAAUUUUUAGAUCGUCUUUAUACAAGCCGUAUAAUAACGAUGGUAGGCGAGUGUUAUAUUGGCUAUGAAGCUUGAGCGUGAGUACAAGUGGAGCCAACAUAAGUAAGAAUGCCGGCGUAAGUAACGUAUGAAAGUGAGAAUCUUUCUAGCCGAUUGACUAAGGUUUCCAGGGCAAGGGUCAUCCUCCUUGGGUUAGUCGGACCUAAGGCGAGGCCGAAAGGCGUAGUCGAUGGAUAGCGAGUUAAUAUUCUUGCACUCGCUUGAUUGGUGAUGGGGUGACAGAAGAGGUUAAUAUGAGCGGGUUAUUGGAUUCCCGUUUAAGUAUCAAGUAGCCGGGGCAAGCAAAUCUACCCCGGAUUUCCUACAAGUUACGAAUACGAGCGAAAGCCACGGCAACUAGUGAAGUCAUAUACAUCAUAUUCUCAAGAAAAGCCUCUAACUUAACAAUCAAGCAUCCGUACCGAGAACGAACACACGUGGUCAAGGAGAAAAUCCUAAGGCUAUCGAGAUAACUACAGUUAAGGAACUCUGCAAAAUAGCCCUGUAACUUCGGGAGAAAGGGUGCCUAUGCAAAUAGGUCACAGUAAAGAAUGAGGGGGGACUGUUUAACAAAAACAUAGCUAUAUGCAAAAUCGAAAGAUAAAGUAUAUGUGGCGACACCUGCCCAGUGCCAGAAGGUCAAUGAAGGCCGUU